rnacentral:sRNA from 1 species
UGUUAAGGUUGAGGAACUCCACACUGGC